rnacentral:lncRNA from 1 species
AUUGGCCAGGCCUGGAAGAGCAGUACAAGAAUGACAAGUAGAGAGUACAGAAUGUACAAAGGCAAACAGGGAGUGUAUACAAAGCUCUGCAAGGAUUGGCUGCAGUGAACAACUUGUUCAUUCAUCUAUUUAACAAGCAUUUAUUCAGUGCUUACUAUCUCAGGAACUGUUACGACACCAGUAGUGAGCAAUGCACAUAUUUCAGUGUGUCCAGAUUACAAUGGUUAUGGAGAAUAUGUAUCCUCUGCUGAUGCUCCCAUGUGGCUUUGUGUCUAACAAUGAUCCAUAGCCAGGAUACCCACAGGUACCAACUGUCAGGCCUCUGAGCCCAAGCUAAGCCAUCAUAUCCCCAGAGACCUGUACGUAUACAUCCAGAUGGCCUGAAGCAACUGAAGAUCCACACAAAUGAAAAUAGCUUAAAUGAUGACACCAUUGUGAUUUGUUUCUGCCCCACCCUAACAGAUCGAUGUACUUUGUAAUCUCCCCCACCCUUAAGAAGGUUCUUUAUAAUCUCCCCCACCCUUAAGAAGGUUCUUUGUAAUUCUCCCCAUCCUUGAGAAUGUACUUGGUGAGCUUUACCCCCUGCCCCCAAAAUAUUGCUCCUACCUCCACCGCCUAUCCGAAAACCUAUAAGAAGUAAUGAUAAUCCACCACCCUUUGUUGACUCAGCCUGCCUGCACCCAGGUGAAAUAAACAGCCAUGUUGCUCACACAAAGCCUGUAUGGUGAUCUCUUCACACGGACAUGUGAAACACCAACCAUCACCAAAUUCUCCUAAGACUUGUUAGGAGCUUCUGCCUCGCUAACCAAUCCUUCUAAUUUCAUAACAAGUAGUCCCUACUGCUCCAGACCUCACUGAUACAGUGCUAUUAUUUUUCUUAAUAUAAUGC